AGUCCCUCGUUAUAAAUUAAAUUAACCGACAGCAGUUUGUGUUUUAUCUUUAUUCCUGACUGGAGAACGAGCUUGGUUUGAGUCGCGCGCAGACUCCAAAACUGGCGGGAGCAGCUCGCGGGAAGGUGAAGCGCUUUUGCUAGCUGGUUAAUCUGUGGACGACGACAAUGACUGAAUAUGAAGUCUUCAAAUGAUAAACAGCUCAUAUUUCCAUCUCUGAUUUCACAUUACAAAGAGCCUAACAGUUCUUACCACAUCAGCACACACUGGCGGCACAUUUUCCUUCUGCUUCCCACUGUGACUCCGGACUUCAUUAUCUGCUGGUUCACUCUACCAGGAACACAAAAAGGGUAAAGGAGAGAAGUUUGGCUUUGAUGAGAGCAGAGAGCUCGAACCCUGCAGCGAUCAUGUGGAUGUUCAUCUCAUGACAUCAGCCCCCCAGUGAGAACAGCAGACUUUACAUGAGAGCAACCUCAUCCCAGUCUAAUGAUGGAAAUGUCUUUUGAGAGGUAGAGUAGUUUGGGUUUAACCCAAACAUGAAACUAUGUGGCUUUGCAUGAGGGAAAAAAAAAAAUAAGUCAAUUAAUUUGAGAACUGCUGCAACCAGAUCAU